GGCUGGAAUAUUACAAGGUCUCUUCCUGGCAGCUGUUUGCAGAGAACUGCUACCUGAACAGACAUCCCAGUAGCACACUCAACUUCGUUUGUGUGAAGACCAUCUUGUAGCUGACGCCAAAGAACCUCUAACGCUUCCCUGAACUUUCGCUGCAGAGCUGCUGCUGACCAGCGCAUUCCUAAAGAUGCCCCUUUCUUGCUAAGUGUGGACAGCUCGGAUCUGCCUGCAGCACCAAGGGAAGUUAGAGCUUGGCUUCAGAAUUGUGCUUCGGGCUGGAACUCAGUAUAUCAAAUCUCAGCUUGGAAACAAAUCAUCGUUUGUACAGAACUACGAAGAAAUCCAGUUGGCUAGAGGUGUUGACAGAAGUCUGCAGGGCCAGGCUAAAAUCAGGAAAGUGAUUCAACAGGACUGCUAAGCCUCCCUUGCUCCACCAGGGGAGAUUGUCUGAAUGCCUUGGAUUACCUCUGCCUGCUUUGAGCCUGGCGGUAAGCCUCAGCCUUUGACUUAAACAGGAGCAGUGUUAGGUGACUCCUGAAUGCAUUUAAAAAUCCCAUUCCACAGUUUCUUUGUGUGUGCAUUUGUUGGAGUACCUGUUUACCUGACUCUCUGAGGCAGUUGCUAAAUCUGAGAGUUUCUCAAUCAGCUGUUGAAGCUGCAGCUGUUGCUGCAAGGAGGCGAUGGCUCAGGGCUGAACGGCUCUGAUUGCAGACCUGAACUCCUUCCCCACCGCUGGCUGCGUGAAGAGUUUUGCCAGGGUAAGGGCUGAAUAAUGACUUCACAAUUCGGACCUGUGUGCAGUAUUCAUCAGGCUGUGACAGCGUGGGUUUGCAAAUGUUUUGACCGCCUUCCAAGAGGCUUUCACUGUAACAUAAGCUGGUAAUGAAUUUCACAUAGAAGUGCAAAAGAUGCAAAUAAGCAACUCCCCACCUACCACUGCUGUCUAUAUUCAUUAGAGAGACAGAUUGUUCAAUGUCCAGAUAAUCAUGAGAAAAAAGGUAAAAUACAAGUAGCCAGGAAAGAAAUGAGGCAUGUAAAAUUAUUGAGUAUUUUCCCUGUUUAGAUAAGAAGUAAAAUAGCAGUGUUGA